rnacentral:tRNA from 1 species
GCCUGGGCGGCUCAGUCAGUUGAGCAUAUGACUUUGGCUCAGGUCAUGAUCUUGCAAUUUAUGGGUUCAAGCCCCAUGUCAGGCU